AACCGUAAAAAAGGAAGUUAAAGAGUGGAGUUUCUUCCAAUGGGUUAACGCCGUAAAUAGUGGCAAAACCGAGGGUCGUCCUACGAAACAACGCUGCUAGGGUUGGUUAGAUGAAGAAAAAAACCGGUUAGAUGGGAAAUUUGAAAUGAAAAUGGUGGGUGCUGCUGCGCAGAUCUAUUGAGAAAAUAAUAAUACAAAAAAA
rnacentral:lncRNA from 1 species